rnacentral:rRNA from 1 species
GACGGAGGGGGCAAGCGUUGUCCGGACUCACUGGGCGUAAAGGGUGCGUAGGCGGUCUUGUGCGUCGGCGCUGAAAUCACACGGCUCAACCGUGUGGCGCGUGCCGAUACGACGAGACUUGAGGCUCUGAGAGGGUGGCGGAACUCCUGGUGUAGCGGUGAAAUGCGCAGAUAUCAGGAGGAACACCAGCGGCGAAGGCGCUGCUCUGGGCCGGUACUGACGCUGAGGAGCGAAAGCGUGGGGAGCGAACAGG